UUUGUAAUGAAUAAAGUUUGGGAGGAAAGACCACACCUGCAAAAAUGAAUCUCUGUUCUCAACAGUCAAUGUAAAACGACUCCCUUCUUGCUAACCAAUUCACAGUAAACUCAAAGUAUUUGGACAGUGAUACAUUGUAUUUGUAUUUAUCUUGUGGUAUUUUUCCUAACACUUUGUGCGUUUGAGAAAUGACAGUGGCUAUGGGGUUAAAGCACACACUGUCAACAUUAAUUUAACCAUAUGAUGACUGUGACACGCCAAAAUGCAGAAUUCUAUCAAUAACUUGUACUCACACCUAACCUAUGUUUUGAGCCUAUUUUGCCCCUGGCUUUCCUGUUUCAAAAGGAAUGCAAUAAACUUUGAACUGGCUCCCAGUCUUCACAAGGUUGUGCUUUUUCAAGGAGAUUUCCUGGCUACAAUGACUCGCGGCUCCCACUUCCACUGUAGGUUUCAUACGAUGUCCCUGGGGGUUUUCCUGCGCAUACAAGACACCCAGCAUUUACACAAAUUCAAGGUCAAUGUCUAGAGAACAUUUCGUACGGAAUUUUACCGUUUUCACACCUCUGGAUAAGGCUACACCAGAGCCAAACUUUGUAGUCUUGGGUCACAUCUUCACCACCACGCAAGAGGACGGGCCACUGACACAGACUACAGGAAACCCUGGGACCUCCAGCCAUGCUGAGCGGGCUGAGGUGGAGCGGGUUGAGAGCUUUUAGUUCCAUGAAAUUAACUAUCACCAAGGCAUUUGAGGAGACUCCGGUAGCUCCGCGUCGCCGGCAAAUCCUCAUCCCGUUAUGCUGCUGCACCGCUGAUAGUGUCCUGACCGGCUCCCAUCGACGCUUGGCAUUGGGACUGCACCGUCACAGAUCCCUUUCAGGCCGUUCAGGACCUCUACGUAAGGCGAUGUCGGAGGAAGGACCUAAAAAUAGCCCGACCACCCACGUCGGUCGUGGACCAUAGUGCAAUAAGUUACCUAGGUUGGAAUGUGUUACAGUAGGACCAGCGUAGGAAUGGAUUUGUCCGUUUUUGUCAGUGCCUUUUUCCAGCCUCCGCCCAGCCUCUUUUUGUUUGUAUUAUGGUCCAUUCAGACAUCUCUGCUCCCUGUGAGGAAAACCUGCUUUUUCUUGGUGUGAUGCUUUUGUGUCGCUGCACUUUUUUUCAUGCCUCAGUCUGCUGCUCGGUGAAGGAAUCCAGUUUCAUUGUCCAAUUCUGCCAUCCUAACCAUCUGCCCUGACAACAGAAUGAGUCUCAGUAUUAUAAUGUGGAUUUUUAAAUGCUUUGGAAAUGGAAAAUGUUAUCUAGGUUUGUUUGGCAUCGUCUACAAGGAUGAUAAUGUCUGGAAUGGCUGACAACAACCCCCAAUGAUUUGUCCUGAGAACGAACUCCCACCUAAGGGCCCUUCUUUUUACCUGAUAGUGCAAUUUGUGCCAAGUUUACUAUUUUUCCUCAAAAUAGCAAAACAGGACAUUCUGGCAAUGCAAUACCUAAAUGGCUGCCAUAGGGAGACAUGAAUGUCUGAGAUACACAGUGAAAACAAUUAUGUCGCUUUGCACCAAAUCACAAGGACAUUUUGAAAACAGCACAUGAGGAUGUCAUGCCUUCUGACUCUCUGGACAGUUGACUUCAGAAAACCAGGGCCAGAAAGACCAAUAUCAUAACAAACAACUGACAGUGAAAAGAAAUGUCACAGACAUAAAGUCACUAGCUAUUCGUUUUAAGCAAUGGACAAGUCUUCAAAAUCUAUAUUCUCUGUGAUGGAGGGAUACAAAACUAUAUCGGAAGAGGGAAAGAGAGAGAACAGGCUAUACCUGAUUAACCGAUAACGUGUGAAAAGAUUAUCUUAAUCCUGACACGGCUUCUCAUGAAUGUAAUAGUAAUUUUGACAAGACUUCUUGUGUAAAUCAUCCUAAUCCUGAAAGGCCUCCUUGUGAAGUGAUCCUAAUCCUGACAGGCCUUCUCAUGAAAGUCCUCCUAAUCCUGAAAGGCCUCCUUGUGAAAGUGAUCCUAAUCCUGACAGGCCUUCUCAUGAAAGUCCUCCUAAUCCUGAAAGGCCUCCUUGUGAAAGUGAUCCUAAUCCUGACAGGCCUUCUCAUGAAAGUCCUCCUAAUCCUGACAGGCCUCCUUGUGAAAGUGAUCCUAAUCCUGACAGGCCUUCUCAUGAAAGUCCUCCUAAUCCUGACAGGCCUCCUUGUGAAAGUGAUCCUAAUCCUGACAGGCCUUCUCAUGAAAGUCCUCCUAAUCCUGACAGGUCUUCUUGUGAAAGUCAUCCUAAUCUUAACAAGCCUUCUCAUGAAAGACAAUCCUAAUCCUGACAGGCCUUCUCAUAGAAGUCCUCCUAAUCCUGACAGGCCUUCUUGUGAAAGUCAUCCUAAUCCUGACAGGCCUUCUCAUAAAUGUCCUCCUAAUUCUAACAGGCCAUAACCAAUUUUAGGACAGUACAAGGAAGAAACACUUCUGCCUGAUGUGUUCUAAACUCUCAACAACACUCUCUGUGGGACAGUUGUGACAAGUGGUUCUAACUCAUUUAAUUUACAAUAGUCUGUUAUAUUAAUGGUUAUAUUAGAAUACACAUUAAGUUCGUCACUGUUAAAAACCGUAUUAAGGUUGUCACUGUUAAAAUUAGAUGAGUAAUAUUGAGAAGCAGAAUUCAGAUAAUGCUGAUCCAUGUAUAGAUUGAUUAUUCGUCAAUGUAUUAGUAAUGCCUUGGGGCUUCUGUAGGGGGAUCGCAGGCGCGCGCUUUUCUUCCUCAUUCAAUACAGACGAGUGAAGGCGAGAGCAGCGUCUUGUGUGUUUCUUAAACCUUCCCGCUACUUUUUCCCUUUUUAAGGGUACAACACAGUCAUGUUGGGAACAUGUCUUGAGUAUGACAGCUUGUAGCAAGUGUUCCAACGCAAAGUGCCUCGUAAAGAUUUCCAAAUCCUUCAUAGUGCCUGCAUCUGAAAUGACGGCAUAUACGUUGAUGUUUCAGGAAGUAAAACGGG
ensembl:lncRNA